rnacentral:misc_RNA from 1 species
GCCGCCGCAUCGUUUACAGCAGAGGAGCAGCGCCACCCCCUCCCCCUUUCACCAUGCCUUCAAUCGACGUAUCCGACGCUCCCCCUUUCCCUCCCACCGAAUCAAUCAAGAAAUCGAAGCACAAGAAGUCGAAGAUCGCCGAGCCCCCGAUGCCGCCGCCGGAGACCCCCGAGCCCGAAAUUCUAGAUUCCGGUCUCAAGAAGAAGAAGAAGAAGCGCUCGAAGAUAGAACCAGACGACGGGGAGAUCGUCGAGACUGCCGAGACGCCGUCGGAGAAGAAGAGCCGGAAGAAGAAGAAGAGGAAGGCGUCCGACGACGAGGAGAGGAGCGAUACUGUCUCCGAUGCCGAUGAGUCUGUGGAGGCGGAGGUGAAGGUGAAGGCUCUGGAGGCGAAGGCGCCGGAGCCAAACGGGAACGGGCCUUUGUUGAAGAAGCAGAAGGUGUUUGAGAAGGAUGAUGAGGAUGGAGAUGUGACUGGUAGUGGGGAGGAGGAUGCUGUGGCCAAUCCGAAUGCGGUGUCGAAUUUCGGGAUCUCGGAGGUGCUGAGGAAGACUCUGAAGUCGAGGGGGAUUGAGGCGCUGUUCCCGAUUCAGGCGAUGACUUAUAACAUUAUUGUUGAUGGUUCUGAUUUGGUUGGACGGGCACGCACGGGUCAGGGUAAAACCUUGGCAUUUGUGUUGCCGAUUUUGGAGUCUCUAAUUAAUGGACGGUUCAAGGAAUCAAGAAGGACCGGUCAUGGACGAACUCCGAGUGUACUGGUUCUUCUACCGACUAGAGAGCUAGCUAAUCAGGUACAUGCAGAAUUUGAGGUAUAUGGUGGUGCGGCGGGACUGACCUCUUGUUGUUUGUAUGGAGGAUCUCCUUAUCGGUCACAGGAGAUGGCUCUCAGGCGUGGUGUGGAUAUAGUUGUUGGUACGCCUGGGCGGAUAAAGGAUCAUAUAGAGAGGCAGACUCUUGAUUUGAAGGCCCUAAAAUUCCGUGUCCUUGAUGAAGCUGACGAGAUGCUGAAUAUGGGAUUUGUUGAUGAUGUUGAACUUAUUCUUGGGAAAGUUGAGGAUGUUACUAAAGUCCAGACACUUCUCUUUAGCGCCACUCUGCCUGAAUGGGUAAAGAAGAUCUCUACAAGGUUUCUUAAACCUGAUAAAAAGAUUGCUGACCUUGUUGGGAAUGAGAAAAUGAAGGCCAGUGCUAGUGUUAGACAUCUUGCUCUUCCAUGUUCUCGCCAAGCCAGGGCACAACUCAUUCCAGAUGUUAUUCGUUGCUAUAGCCGUGGAGGGCGGACAAUUAUUUUCACCGAGACGAAAGAGUCUGCAUCAGAGCUUGCUGGAUUGCUACCUGGUGCACGGGCUUUGCAUGGAGACAUAAUGCAGGCACAACGAGAGGUUAUACUUGCUGGAUUCAGGUCUGGCAGAUUUUUAGUGUUAGUGGCUACUAAUGUAGCAGCACGUGGCCUAGAUAUCAAUGAUGUUCAGUUGAUUAUUCAGUGUGAGCCACCACGUGAUGUUGAAGCUUAUAUUCAUCGGUCAGGGCGCACUGGGAGGGCUGGUAACACUGGAGUUGCUAUUCUGUUGUACGAGCCUAGAUUCUCACAUGGCAUUUCAAGGAUUGAAAGGGAGUCUGGCUUCAAGUUUGAGCACAUCUCUGCUCCUCAACCUGCUGAUGUUGCUGAGUCUGCUGGUUCUGAAGCAGCAAGUGCUAUAUCUGAUGUGUCUGACAGUGUGAUUCCUGUAUUCCGACCGCAAGCUGAGCAACUUUUAAGUUCUUCUGGUAUGCCAGCUGUGGAUUUGCUUGCGAAGGCACUUGCAAAAGCUGCUGGUUACACUGACAUAAAGAAGCGAUCACUUCUGUCUUCUAUGGAGAAUUGCGUGACUUUACUUCUCCAGACAGGAAGGAGUAUUUAUACACCAUCGUUAGCGUUUAGUACCUUGAGAAGGUUCUUGCCUGAUGAGAAAAUAGAAGGGGUGAAGGGUCUUUCUCUUACAGCUGACGGAAUGGGAGCAGUUUUUGACGUGCCUGCCGAUGAUGUGAAUGUGUUCCUUGAAGGCCAGGAAAAUGCAAGUAUGGUAACCCUGGAGGUGUUGGACAAGUUGCCUCCUUUACAAAACAAAGAAGACACUAGGGGCAAUUUUUCGGGACGAGGAAGGUUUGGACGUGGUGGUGGCAGCAGAUUCUCUGGCGGUAGGGGAGGCAGCGGAGGCGGGUUUUCUGGCAGAGGCAGUCGUGGAAGGGGUGGUGGUGGCCGGUUCAGUAGGAGGAAUUGAAGCAGUGCCUGUUGGGGAGGUUUAUUAAGUUAUGUUUGAUGUGGAGGGCCAUAUAUGGCCCAAGAGUUUUGUAGGUAGGCUCUGCUUAAAAGUUAAUUGUUUGCCUUAUUUGUUGUGUAAAAUUUUCAUACAAUAUGUUAUAAAAAAAUCUGGAUGGGCAAUCUGAUAAGUCUAUGAACCUAUGCAGGAUGGUUAAAAAAG